CAGUAGCCACGGUAAUACGGAGGAUGCAAGCGUUAUCCGGAAUGAUUGGGCGUAAAGCGUCUGUAGGUGGCUUUUCAAGUCCGCCGUCAAAUCCCAGGGCUCAACCCUGGACAGGCGGUGGAAACUACCAAGCUGGAGUACGGUAGGGGCAGAGGGAAUUUCCAGUGGAGCGGUGAAAUGCGUUGAGAUCGAAAAGAACACCAACGGCGAAAGCACUCUGCUGGGACGACACUGACACUAAGAGACGAAAGCUAGGGGAGCAAAUGGGAUUAGAUACCCCGGUAGUCCCUGUCUCUUAUAC
rnacentral:rRNA from 1 species